GUCGCGGUAAUCGGAGGAAGAAGGAGAGAAAGAGGGAGAAAGAGCGAAAUCUGUCUCCGUAAGCGGGGAAAUUGACCGGAUCGAGGCUUUCGUUCGCCGCGCGGUUGUUGCUCGGUACGUAACGAAAUGAUUGUCGAUCUCGCAAGUCGCGCAUUUCCGUAAUCUGCGGGUAACUGCGGUUUCGCCGCCAUUUGCAAAAAAAAGUACGUCGAGUAGAGGGACUCACUUUCCGCGCUAAUUGCUCGUUUUUGUAACGUUCCAGUGGCUCACGGUACGAAAUUUCUCCUUGCGCAUCGCGGAAUAUGAACAUUCUCGAGCAUCGGGAGGGAAAACCUGAGAGAAGAAGAGAUCGAGAACUUUAGCGUCGUAUCGGUGCGAAGCGGCUGUUGCUGGAAGCGAUGCGCAGGCACAAAUGCCGGAGCGGUAUCACGGUCACGACCCACGUGACCGUUUUAAAGGCUCGCCAACGGCCACCAUCAAUCAAAUCGAUGGAGAACGGAUUCUCUCGCUGCGUACGGGUCCAUUAAUUAUCGCGCAAUGCACGGAGGAGCAGGGGGAGGAGGAGGAGGAGGAUGCGCUUUUUUUGUCCCCGUAAAACAACGGGGACCGGAGCGAGCGGGCGCGCAGGAACGUCGCCGCGGUCGUGAGUACAGCUCCACGAAAGAGGCUUCCUGGACUUUCCGCGGUGCGUGACGAACGUUGCGGUUGGAUUUUGUACGUGCCGCUAAAUUCGCGAAGGCUUGAAGGAAGAGAUUUACACAACCCGGACUCGAGGCGAGUAUUAUUUUAUAUUUAUAACGUUGCAAUUUUAUAUUUUAUUAAGCUGAUAAAUACGGUCUCGCGUCUAGACUUCCCACGAGAUACAUUUAAUGCUUUUUCUCGCCUUAAAAUAUGUUAUUGCUUGGGAAACAAAAAUAUGUAUUACGACUUAUGCCAUUGUUCUCAUUCUCGAUGAUAAUUCGCAGUGCUAGAUGCGA